rnacentral:rRNA from 2 species
GGCGUAAAGCGUGCGCAGGCGGUGAUGUAAGACAGAGGUGAAAUCCCCGGGCUCAACCUGGGAACUGCCUUUGUGACUGCAUCGCUGGAGUACGGCAGAGGGGGAUGGAAUUCCGCGUGUAGCAGUGAAAUGCGUAGAUAUGCGGAGGAACACCGAUGGCGAAGGCAAUCCCCUGGGCCUGUACUGACGCUCAUGCACGAAAGCGUGGGGAGCAAACAGGAUUAGAUACCCUGGUAGUCCACGCCCUAAACGAUGUCAACUGGUUGUUGGGUCUUCACUGACUCAGUAACGAAGCUAACGCGUGAAGUUGACCGCCUGGGGAGUACGGCCGCAAGGUUGAAACUC